rnacentral:rRNA from 1 species
UGAAUACGAGACGCUAAGGCGUCGAAGUAGUGUAUGUCAUACUUCCAAGAAAAGCUUGCACUGUCAUAGAUAAAAAACGCCUGUACCAUAACCGACACAGGUGGGUAGGUAGAGUAUACUAAGGGGCGCGAGAUAACUCUCUCUAAGGAACUCGGCAAAAUAACUCCGUAACUUCGGGAGAAGGAGUGCCUUAUUCUUAAGGUUGCAAUAACAAGAUCCAAGCAACUGUUUAUCAAAAACACAGGUCUCCGCUAAGUCGUAAGACGAUGUAUGGGGGCUGACGCCUGCCCAGUGCCAGAAGGUUAAAGAAGCUGGUUAGCAUUUGCGAAGCUAGUAACUGAAGCCCUGGUGAACGGCGGCCGUAACGAUAACGGUCCUAAGGUAGCGAAAUUCCUUGUCGGGUAAGUUCCGACCCGCACGAAAGGCGUAAUGAUUUGGAUACUGUCUCGGAGAGGGGCUCGGUGAAAUAGACUUGUCUGUGAAGAUGCGGACUACCUGCACCAGGACAGAAAGACCCUAUGAAGCUUUACUGUAACUUGAAAUUGAAAUUGGACUUUAUUCGCGCAGUAUAGGUGGGAGGCGUUGAUUAUAAUCUUGCGGGAUUAUUGGAGCCAUUAGUGAGAUACCACUCUUGUAAUGUUAGAUUUCUAACUUUGAAUCAUUAUCUGGUCAAGGAACAGUUUCAGGCGGGCAGUUUGACUGGGGCGGUCGCCUCCUAAACGGUAACGGAGGCGUACAAAGGUUUCCUCUGAACGGUUAGAAAUCGUAUCUAGAGUGUAAAGGCAUAAGGAAGCUUGACUGUGAGACCUACAAGUCGAGCAGGGAGAAAGUCGGUCUUAGUGAUCUGACGGUACUGAGUGGAAAGGCCGUCACUCAACGGAUAAAAGUUACUCUAGGAUAACAGGCUGAUCUCCCCCAAGAGUUCACAUCGACGGGGAGGUUUGGCACCUUGAUGUCGGCUCAUCGCAUCCUGGGGCGGUAGUACGUCCCAAGGGUUGGGCUGUUCGCCCAUGAAAGCGGUACGCGAGCUGGGUUCAGAACGUCGUGAGACAGUUCGGUCCAUAUCCGGUGUAGGCGUUAGAAUAUUGAGAGGAGCCUUCUUUAGUACGAGAGGACCGAGAAGGACAUACCUCUGGUGUACCAGUUAUCGUGCCAACGGUAAACGCUGGGUAGCUAUGUAUGGAGUGGAUAACCGCUGAAAGCAUCUAAGUGGGAAGCCCACCUCAAGAUAAGUAUUCUCA